AGUCCAGCAUCCAUUGAAAACAUCUUAAGAGAAAAGUACAUACCUCACUUUUGCAUUUUAGUUUAUAGAUUGCCUGAAUGUUAGAAUGUGGAAAGUGGGGUCUAGAAGUAUGAUGAGACUGUUAGAAUGUGGAAAGUGGUCUAGAAGUAGAAUAGAGUGCAUGGUAAGAAGUACGAGAUUCUAUCUCAAAACCAAUUGGUGAUGAGUGGAGUAACUCGUACUCUUAUAAAUUGUUGAAUAUACCUACACACUUUCCAUGUGAGAUAUUUUCCCUAAUAUCCCCUCAAGAUGGUGGCUAUUUUUACUCACCAAUCUUGGACGGCUUGAUCGUAAGUGGCUCGUUGGCUCUUUUUGGCUCACUAUCACCGAAUCACAAAUUUGGAUUUGGAUCGGAUACAUAUUCGUUUGAAUUUUCUUUGGCUCUUGCUCACCAAUCUUGGACGGCUCGAUCGCAAGUGGCUCGUUGACUCUUUUGGAUUUGGAUCGGAUACAUACUCGUUAGAAUUUUCUUUGGCUCUUAAUACCAUGUUAGAAUGUGGAAAGUGGUCUAGAAGUAGAAUAGAGUGCAUGGUAAGAAGCAUGAGAUUUCAUCUCAAAACCAAUUGGUGAUGAGUGGAGGAAUUUGAAUAUACCCACAAACUUUCCAUGUAGGAUAUUUUCUCUAACAGAGACAAAUGUGUUGUUGUUAAUUCUAAUCUGCAACAAAAAAUCACACUCAACUGUGGUAAAGACAGAAGGAAAUUGGAACAGGGAGAUAACAUGAUACAUAAGUUGGUAAGGGCAAUGGAAAAUAGGCUCAAUAUGCCUUCUAAAACAGCCUCGAUCGAUCAAAAGACUGCAGCAUUUCAACCGAAUCCACAAUUAGGAAUUUUUAAUGAAAGUUUACACUGCAUUUGGGAUCAUACACUUGAAGAUAAAAGAAAAAACACCACAUUCUAAGAUUACAAGUAGGUUCUAAUACAGUCAAUACAUACACAUGAAAAAUAUUGACUCUCAAAAGCACCUGUAUAUAUCAUGCAAAGCAACAUUGCAGGAACACAAUAACAUAGAUUCACUUAUAACACACAAGAAAUAUUUAACAGGUCAAAGUAACUCUAGUUAUCAAACCACCAUAAACAUCAUUAGAACAAUAGCCACUACAAUGUUAAUUGAAGAAUUAUAGGAGACCACCAAUAUGUAAAGAAGAAAAGAGAAAAAAAAAAAAGCAUAAAAAAAAACAGUGCAAAAAAGCAUCAAAAUUGAAGUUUUCUCUUUAGUCUCUACAACCACCUUUGGUACUGAUGAAUUUGCAUAACCAACACAUGAAAAAAAAAAUAGCCCUUUUGUUCUACUUGCCAAAACUUAGACCAAUCAUUACUGAGAACAAAAAAAUUGGAGUAAUUUGGAUAAAUUCUACAAAUUGGGUGGCAAAAUAAGAAUAUUUUAAAAUUAUGGGCUAAAAUAUAAUUUAGCAAUAGUUUAGGACAAAUAUGAGAUUGGCAUAAUGAUAUUGUGUAAUAGCUAUAUCGUCCUCUUCUCCCUCAAAUAUGAGUCCUCAAAACUCUGAAAUCAAAUCUUGAUCUCUCGCAGGGUGUGCUUCAGCCUUCGGCAUUGACAGGUAAAUGGGUUUGUGGACAAUACUUGAGGGGUUUCUGCUAAUUGCAAAUGCAUUGGCCAUAUUAAAUGAGGACCGGUUUCUUGCACCGAAGGGAUUGAGCUUCUCAGAGUUUUCUGUAGGGAAGACAAAGUCAUUCAAGGGACAGCUGAUAGGUCUCAUUUAUGCAACUCAGUACUUGAGAUUUCCUCUGAUUUUGCUCAACUCCAUGUUUGUCUUUGUCAAGUUAGUAUCAGGAUGAUGUGAUAUAUGGGCUUGAUCUAGAUCUAUUGUAGAACAGUUUGUCUUACUUUUUGGUUUUGUUUAAACCAUGUAAUAGUUGAAAGUUAUUCCAAUAUUUUGGAGUUACAUUUUUUUUUUGUGUUGUAAAGCAUUUUUUUGUAACACACAAGCCAUUAUUAUUCUCCUAUCUUCUCUCUCUCUUA